UGGGGAAUUUGGACAAUGGCGCAAGCCUGAUCCAGCCAUGCCGCGUGCGGGAAGAAGGCCUUCGGGUUGUAAACCGCUUUUGUCAGGGAAGAAAUCUUCUGAGUUAAUACCUCGGGAGGAUGACGGUACCUGAAGAAUAAGCACCGGCUAACUACGUGCCAGCAGCCGCGGUAAUACGUAGGGUGCAAGCGUUAAUCGGAAUUACUGGGCGUAAAGCGUGCGCAGGCGGUUUUGUAAGACAGAGGUGAAAUCCCCGAGCUCAACCUGGGAACUGCCUUUGUGACUGCAAGGCUUGAGUGCGGCAGAGGGGGAUGGAAUUCCGCGUGUAGCAGUGAAAUGCGUAGAUAUGCGGAGGAACACCGAUGGCGAAGGCAAUCCCCUGGGCCUGCACUGACGCUCAUGCACGAAAGCGUGGGGAGCAAACAGGAUUAGAUAGCCCUGGUAGUCCACGCCCUAAACGAUGUCAACUGGUUGUUGGGAAGGUUCCUUCUCAGUAACGUAGCUAACGCGUGAAGUUGACCGCCUGGGGAGUACGGCCGCAAGGUUGAAACUCAAAUGAAUUGACGGGGU
rnacentral:rRNA from 1 species